UCCCGGCUAGCUCAGUCGGCAGAGCGUUUGACUCUUAUUUCUCUGAAAUAGAGUACCUGAUCAUCAGGUGGUAUCAAAAUGUCGAGGGUUCGAGCCCCUCGUUGGGAG